rnacentral:rRNA from 1 species
AGAGUUUGAUCAUGGCUCAGAUUGAACGCUGGCGGCAUGCCUAACACAUGCAAGUCGAACGGCAGCACAGCAGUAGCAAUACUGUGGGUGGCGAGUGGCGGACGGGUGAGGAAUACAUCGGGACCUGCCCAGACGUGGGGGAUAACGUAGGGAAACUUACGCUAAUACCGCAUACGUCCUACGGGAGAAAGCGGGGGAUCUUCGGACCUCGCGCGGUUGGAUGGACCGAUGUUCGAUUAGCUAGUUGGUGAGGUAAUGGCUCACCAAGGCGACGAUCGAUAGCUGGUCUGAGAGGAUGAUCAGCCACACUGGGACUGAGACACGGCCCAGACUCCUACGGGAGGCAGC